GACAGAGGGUGCAAACGUUGUUCGGAAUUACUGGGCGUAAAGCGCGUGUAGGCGGCAUGACAAGUCGGGUGUGAAAGCCCUGGGCUCAACCCAGGAAGUGCACUCGAUACUGUCGUGCUAGAGUCCCGGAGAGGGUGGUGGAACUCUCGGUGUAGAGGUGAAAUUCGUAGAUAUCGAGAAGAACACCGGUGGCGAAGGCGGUGGUCUGGGCCUGAACUGACGCUGAGGAGCGAAAGCCAGGGGAGCAAACGGG
rnacentral:rRNA from 1 species